GUGUGUGUGUGUGUAUAGAUUUAACCAGUUAAUCAUCUUUCAUUGCUCACACUGGGUGUGGGCGUGGCAUAAAUGACUACUUUACAGACAGGCUUCAUCUUCUGGAAUAUACUUUAGGAAAGUUUCUUCAAGAAUAACUUCCUCAUUUUUUUCAAAGUGCAACUUGCAGACUUACCUGUGCUUUUUGUUUUCACUAAGACAACACUGGAUGGCCUAGAACUUAAGACAAGUCUGUCCUCAGGGAAAUCUGGGAACAGCUGGUGCUGAAGUUAGCUAAUUACCAGCCAAGCUGAACUGCAGAGGUGCUUCAUGUCUCCAGCAUUACACGGCGUACGGAUGAUGAGGCUUAAUAUAGAAUGACUGGAGAAUUUAAGCAGAA